GAUGAACGCUGGCGGCGUGCUUAACACAUGCAAGUCGAACGGAAAGGCUCCUGCUUGCCGGGGUACUCGAGUGGCGAACGGGUGAGUAACACGUGGGUGAUCUGCCCUGCACUUCGGGAUAAGCCUGGGAAACUGGGUCUAAUACCGGAUAGGACCACAUUUUGGAUGGUGUGGUGGAAAGUUUUUCGGUGUGGGAUGGGCUCGCGGCCGAUCAGCUUGUUGGUGGGGUAAUGGCCUACCAAGGCGUCGACGGGUAGCCGGCCGGAGAGGGUGUACGGCCACAUUGGGACUGAGAUACGGCCCAGACUCCUACGGGAGGCAGCAGUGGGGAAUAUUGCACAAUGGGCGCAAGCCUGAUGCAGCGACGCCGCGUGGGGGAUGACGGCCUUCGGGUUGUAAACUCCUUUCGCUAGGGACGAAGCGCAAGUGACGGUACCUGGAGAAGAAGCACCGGCUAACUACGUG
rnacentral:rRNA from 1 species